UGAGGAAUAUUGGUCAAUGGUCGGGAGACUGAACCAGCCAAGCCGCGUGAGGGAAGAAGGUACAGAGUAUCGUAAACCUCUUUUGUCAGGGAACAAAAGGCGCCACGCGUGGCGCUCCGAGUGUACCUGAAGAAAAGCAUCGGCUAACUCCGUGCCAGCAGCCGCGGUAAUACGGAGGAUGCGAGCGUUAUCCGGAUUUAUUGGGUUUAAAGGGUGCGUAGGCGGCGAGUUAAGUCAGCGGUAAAAGCCCGGGGCUCAACCCCGGCCCGCCGUUGAAACUGGCUUGCUUGAGUUGGAGAGAAGUAGGCGGAAUGCGCGGUGUAGCGGUGAAAUGCUUAGAUAUCGCGCAGAACUCCGAUUGCGAAGGCAGCCUACCGGCUCCAGACUGACGUUGAGGCUCGAAAGCGUGGGGAGCAACAGGAUUAGAUACC
rnacentral:rRNA from 1 species